GUCAGCAGAGCCUCCGGAUUCGAGGGGGAUGGGGUGGGCGUGGAAAUGUCUCAGCAUGUCCGACACGGUGUGGAACCACAAGUGGUGGACAUGGCACUGCCCGUUCUCAUUCACGGACAAACGCAAAUGCUGGAAGAGAGGGGGAAGACAGGGCAAGUGUAGAAUUGAAGAGGGAGACAUAGAUGGUAAAGAAAGAGUAAAAAAAAAACAGAAAGAGAGAAACCGGCCAAUACAAAUAGAGGUCAGGACAUUAUCUGAGGCGUCUCGCUGUGGGAACAGAGCGAAAGAAUGCCAAAGCUGACACCAGAGGAAGAGGCGGCAGCUGACACUUCCUCAACACUACCGGCUGGCAGGAUGUGAUGUUCAGGGAUAGUAUUACAUAAGAGAACACAAAACAUGAAUGCCUCUUUUCCAGGGCCAGAACAACUCUGUCUGCUAUGAGGUGCUGUGCUGCAACCCAACAUGUCACAAGAAUAGGCUUGAGGGAAUUUAUCUGCAGCUGGGAGUUGUCUCACCUUGGCUUUGCCCUGAAAAUUGAAAGUGAGGACGUACUCCCCCGGCCUCGUCUCGCUCUGACGAAUCACAAAGAGCCCAUGGCUCCUGGCCCCGCCUGCAAGCACCAGCUGAGCCGCACGCACACGGGACAGUGUACCGUGGAACCAUGGAAGAGCUGGAGCUCUGAGCCUCCGGGGACUGGAGGAAGCGCUCCAAAGGCAUGUGGGACGGAUGCUGUGUGAAGGGGGGUUCCCUGCAACGGACCGAGGGGGCGCUGUAAUGCUCUGCUGCUGUAGGACAGGACCUCUCCGGAGCACGAUACACUCCUAGGCACAUUUUUAAAUUGUUUUAACAACAAAUUUACGUGGAUCAACAUAUUUUAAUGUUAUGUUACGGUGCUGCAAAAAACAGUGUUUGCUCACCCUCAGACAGCAGCUCACAGCUGCAGGAGGCCACCAUAGAGCAGUCUUUGGAGGCUUGACCAUGAGGACAGGAAGCCAGCUCGAUGUCAUCGCCGCUGUCACUGUACACACGCAGGCAGGCAGCCAACAGCAAAUAUUUAUCUGGUGGUUUACCCGGGGUCUAUGCAGUCCUGGAUGUCAGCAACCCAGGAGUUUUUCUGCAGUGAGUCUAUGGUUUCCAGGAUGUACUCUCCUCCAUUUUCCACCUGUUGAGGCAGCCAAACACGAUCACACACUGAGCUCUGUUCAAAGGACCACAUCGGGGUACAGAUCCAAUAUUAACUCAGCAAGGGUAAAGGCUAACUCUUUUUUCAACAAACUGUGUCAUAUUCUGGAAGCUUUACCUUGAGAACAAAAGUGUUGUCCUUGUCAGGCAUCUCCAGAGGCAUGGUGGUCCUCACUUCCACGAUGGCCGACAGAGGGAUGCUGACUUUGGGCUUUGAGGACUGAAGUUAACAUGCAGACACACAAAAGAUAAAAGGUUACAUUAAACAAAACUGUAAUGGUAUGUGGUAAAUGACCAGAGGGAAGAUCCAUAGGGUUGAAACAGUUACAUUUUGUGUUUCAAAUCUGAUUCUGCCUCCUUGUUUCUUUUACUGUUGCUUAUUUAGUUUUGACAUUUUAAAUUUAAAACUUAAAAAGUGUACAUUUAAAAAUGUUUAAAGGUAUCAUAAGCAAAAUAAAUAAGGAGCAACUGCUUUAGAGAUCAAACAGUAAACAAUCGCUGCCUGUGAUUGCCUAUCACAGUACACCGUUGUUGUUUUUCAUUUACGUUGCAACAAAUCUAAAAAUAAUGCAUUACUUCCUGGGUGAUACUGUAAUUGCCAUCAGCAUAAUUCCCUCAAAACCAAGAUAAGUAAUUAAGGAGGGUCCAAAGUUAAAUUAAAACUUUCAUUACAUCCUGUAGGAGGUAACUACGCCACUUGUAAAAGUAGAAACUUUAGAUUUUUCUACAAAGCUUUCAAUUAGGGGUACGGGUUUAAACAGUUUCACAUCAGCCUAUAUGUUUAGUGUGAAACACACCCAACUCUCCUGGCUCUAAAACGAUAAUUAAGGGGCAACAAGAAGUCUGAACCAUCGGUACAACCUUAGCAGCAAUAAACUGCUUCCUGAGAUAAAAUUCUAACAAAGUAAGGCCAACAUUUAAAAUAGAAGGGAAGAGUCUACAAAAGAUUUCCCAAUCUGCAAUAAACGUCUCCAUAGCUCCGUGUUAAUGCAGUCUCUUAUUUUUCGAUGCAUGUCUCAGCAAUUAUUCCUGCUGAGUGACCGUAACAAACAUAAGAGUUUACAAGUGGCUGAACACAGAAAACAUCCUGGCCUCAAAUUGCCCUCUGCAGAGAGUUGGACCCAGGCCAUAAUCUCAAGAGAUUCAGUGAGAAUGUGUGUGUGUGUGUGUGUGUGUGUGUGUGUGUGUGUGUGUGUGUGUGUGUGUGUGUGUGUGUGUGUGUGUGUGUGUGUGUGUGUGUGUGUGUCAGGGGAGGCAGAGCGAGAAGGAGGCUGACUGAUGGUCUGGCAGAGGUUUAUCAGCUGAUCUGUCUGGAGCAACACUGCUCUCCUCUUGAUCUGCUGUGCAGCUGGCAGGCCUCCACACCCCUCAUUCCUCUCUUUGGAUCAGAUGAUUGUUAAAAACCACUUCCUGUUGACCAUUUCCUGUACGUCUCUACUGCAGAUAGCACAAGCCCCAUUUCAGUGUGAACGUCUGUUGAAAUGUUGAACUUGGUACAAACCAAUUUAAGCAUCUAAAGCGUUGCACAUGUGCUCCACCACACAGCUGUAACAGUCUUACAGGAAAUAAAGUCAGCUAGUCGAAGUAAAUCACAGCCAAGAGAGUUCUGUUGGAUAUUAUGGGGGCAUUUAUUUCUGAAAAGGUUUAAUGGAUGAGACUUCAAACCAUCUUUAAAGAAACUGUCGAAAAAACGAACAUUUCCCAAUCACUCCAACAAAGCUAUCAUGGUGGUUGCGGACAUUUAAUAUUGUGUUAUAAUGUGAAACAAAGCGUGAGCCUGCUAGCUCAAUCAGUAAAAACCAAGCAGCCUCCCCUGCUUUUUUUGUUUUUGUCUUUGAUUGUGAGAACCUUCACAGUAAUGAGUUUUCAUUUCAUUGGAGCCGGUUCUCCACAAAGAAUCACACCAGCUUGCUAAACUAAGCAAAAAUUGCUUUAAGUAGGCAAGUUAACAUAAAGCUGUCUCUAUUUGAUGUGUUGCAGCAACUUUUACCUUUUUGUUAGUGCAUGUUG